GCAACAAUAGCUUAACAUGUAGAGCAUUGGUCUUGUAAGUCAAAGGUGAAUAAAAUAUUUCUUGUUGCU
rnacentral:tRNA from 2 species